ensembl:rRNA 5S_rRNA 5S ribosomal RNA
UUCUAUAGCUAUACCACCCUGAAUGCUCCUGAUCUUGUCUGAUAUUGGAAGCUAAGCAGGGUCGAGCCUGGUUAGUACCUGGAUUGAGAAGGUGGAACAUUACUACCUAAAACAA